rnacentral:misc_RNA from 1 species
CAUUUCAGUACUUUUUAUUUAUUUAUUUAUUUCAAAUUCGGUGCAUUUUCGCAUAUUUUGAUGCAUUUCGGUUCUUGAUCUUGAUGAUAAUUGUAACAAGUGACAUCUGUCAUCAUUCUUUUUCUCAUGGUACAUAGUUGUCAAUGGUCAAAGCUAAGGUGCCUCUGAGUCUUCAACAGUGGAAGCCUCUAGACUCCAGCAUAGCCUUUGCCUAAUUGCCAGUUUACACCUGGCUCAUUGUUAUUUGAUAAGAUUAUUAAUGCACUGUUUAUCCUUGCUAUCUCUUACGUGGUAUUAUUAUCUUGCCAGUGCACCAUGGAACUUUCGCUCACGAAGAAAGAUCAACAAAACAGUGAUGACCAAAACAGCCAUGGUCAAUAUAGCGGUGACCAAAACAAUGACGACCCAAGCACCGUUGCCCGCAGCAAAGAUGAGGAAGUCCUAGUGGAUGCUGCCACCCAGGCACUCAAAACUGGAUCAGCAGACCAUUGUGUUAUGGGUGUCCAGCUUAUAUCUCAACUGAUUGCUGAAAUUAACGAAGUCUCAAAACCUUUUGCAAAGAAAUUCCUCAAUAAAAGGAGUAAGACUAUACAGCCAUUCAGAGACAUUCGCCUCUUCAGUAUCUUCCAGCUGUCCUGCACACUUCUCAGAACAGCCCUUGGGAAUGUGCAGACACUCAGUUUCGCUGAUGAGAGAGUGCAUGCAUUGAUGACUCGUGUGCUUCAGUUGGCACAGAGAUGUCUUAUAUUUAACUCACGAGAGACAGCUUCAGAUGAAAGUGGUGAUGAGAUGGUCAUAGUAAAGAUCCCCACCUCCUGGAGGCCUGCCUUCUUAGACAUGUCAACUGUUCAGCUGUUCUUUGACUUGUAUGCACAUCUCCCUGCUACACUGUCCUCUAUGACUUUAACAUGCUUGGUGCAGCUUGCCUCUGUGAGGCGAGAUAUUUUCAGUAUUAAUGAGGAACGGGUCAGGUUUCUCUCUCAGCUCACCAAUGGAGUUAGGAAUAUGCUAAAGAAUCCACAGGACCUGAGUCACCCCUCAAACUACCACCAAUUCUGCCGACUGGUGUUGCGGCUGAAAAGGAACUACCAGAUUGAUGAGCUGGUGUCAGUGGAGGACUACUCUGAUGCCAUCCAGCUAAUUGCCCAGUUCACUAAGGACUUUGCUCACAAGUGGCAGUCUGCAUCCAAGAGCAUCUGCUGUCUACUGUCCUUCUGGCAUAACAUGGUGUACUGCUCCCACUUCAUGCUGAGCAAAAGGCCCCACCUGCUAGAGAUCUACACCCAUGAAAUAGUAAAGGUUUAUAUAUCAUUUUAUCUAGAGAGUGCAAGUGUAGUGCAGCAUGAAGGUUUGGAAGAUCCUCUAGAUGAUGUCUCUGUUAUUCAACCACAACUACAAAUGCUUUUAUCCAUUGGACGAUAUGAAUAUAGCAGGACAUAUGAGCUGCUUGUACAAGUGUUUGGACAGACUGCACAGCACUACCAGCAAGUGAUAACAGCACACUUGAACCAUGAGUUUCAGCAACACUCCAUGGAAGACAUUGCAGUAUUAGAAGGUCAGUUAACGUGGCUUGUGUACAUGAUUAUCUCUGCGAUUGACAGGCGAUCACUUUCUGCCAGCAGUGAUGAUGCUGAUGCCAUGGAUGGAGACCUGGUUUGCAGGGUGUUGCAGCUUAUGAACUUCACAGACCCAUGUCUACCUGGAAGAGGCUGUAAGAAGUGGGAGUUGGCCUUAAUAGCCCUUUUUCAAAAACUUCUGAGAACAUAUGUUAGUGGUCAAAUUCAUGAAACUUCAGGAUUCUAUGGAUGCCUUUCACAGACCUUAGGAAUUAAUGAUGAAUCAAAGAUAUUAGCAGUGUUUAUGCAAAAAAUCAUUGUGAACUUGAAGCACUGGAGUCACUGUGAGCAACUCCUACACAAGACCCUAAGACUUAUGUUGGACAUCACUGUGGGACAUGAACAGGCAAUGAAGCUUGCCAGACUUGAUGCUGUGCAAGUUAUGCUAAACAACCACACAAGUGAACAGUUUCCUUUCUUGGCCAUUGGCGAGCCUGUGCAAGUGAUGAGACACCGAACGUCCUUCUAUACCUGUCUUGGACGGCUUCUCAUACUGGAUCUUGGAGAAGAUGAAGAGAAGUUCAUACAGUUCAUGAUCCCAAUUACAAGUGCACUAGACAAUGUGAAGCAACUGCUGGCACAGGCCGACACUCCUGUGUUUCGGGCUGAAGAGGCCAAGAAGGAGCUCAUUGGGCUUGCUAGGGAUCUGCGGGGACUGGCCCAUGGACUUGAUUCUCCCAUCUCCUGUAUGAUGUUCUUUUACUGGAUUUAUCCCACCUGCACAGCAAUCAUGAUCCAAAGCAUGGAGAUCUGGCACCAUGAUCCUCAAGUCACCACACCAGUGCUGAAGCUCUUUGCUGAAAUAAUCCAUAGAUCUUCAAAGCUGCAGUUUCAUGCAUCCUCAUCUAAUGGAAUCUUGCUGUUUCAGGAAGCCAGUAAAAUCCUCAGUACUUAUGGUUCUGGUGUUCUGGCCCAGAGUGAUAGCAUUCCAAAGGACCAAAUCUAUCCUAUGAGGUUGAAAGGCAUCAGCAUCUGCUUCUCCAUGCUCAAAUUGGCAUUGUAUCAAGACAUAUGGUCUGGUGGGAGGCUGCGUCAAUUUGGAGGUGACAUGUUAGCCACAGCCUUUUGCACCUUUGCUAAUUUGCUGCCUUGCAUACCACUGUCAGAUCUCCAGGUACAUCGUUAUCUGUCUCUUGACUACCACUCUGUCUUGGUAAUUAUGACAAGAGAUCACCUGAACUUCAUCGUUACCCUUGAGCCAAAUGUGCUGCUUUAUAUUUUAUCUUCUUCAUCUGAAGGACUCUCUGACACAGAAACAUGCAGUUCAUGUUGUCUCAUUCUGGACCAUCUCUUCAGUUAUCUUUACAAGUGUCUGCAUCAUGAAAUAUUUUGGGCAGCUGAGGAAACCAAUCAUCAGCCGAUACACACCAGAAAGGCAGGCAGCGGUGGCACGGUGGCUUGAUGGCCUCAUGGAAGGCAUUGAGCCCAACCUCCUUAGUUCCAACAGAUGCAAAUUUAUGCAAAAUCUGUGCAACACUAAUUAGCUUACAGUGACCUGUAGCAAGAAAUGGUGGUGGGCCAGGGACUGGUCAUAUCUUGAAGUCACCACUAUCUGCAGCCCUGCCAAGAUACAUACCCCAAUCACUGUCAAUGCUACUCCCUGUCUGCACACAUACACACAUAUUCAUACAUUAUUCUGUUACCAAAGCUGUUAAAGAGGAUGGCCAUGAUGUGAUUUCCUUGGGCAGCACCUGAUCACCUCACAAGGGAUAGCUGAAAAAAUUAUUUGGACUGUUGUUGCUACAGAAAGACAAUGGUGCUUAACAGUGCCUUGUUUUGAAUAUUUGAUAAAAUUAAAUUUGAAAGCUAAGCAUAAAAUUUCAAUUUAUGCAUCAGACGUCCUCAAACUGUAGAGAAUCCAUUCAUGAAUUACUUUUUAUUAUAUAUUUACUUGUUAUUUUAACUAAUGAGUAUUCAAGAACUGCAAACAUGCCACCUAAUAUAUUGAAUGUGCUAUGUAUCUAUUUAUUCAAAACUAAUCUUUGGUGUUAUGUAAUGAAAAUAGCCUUGUAUUGAUGGAUACUUUAGGAAAUAGUAUGUUUGCAGGAUUUUUCCAUGCUAUAGGUCAAAGCUCAUAUGAUUAAUGACAUAAAAAAGCAGACCAGUUUUUUUUUUUUUUCUUUCUUUUUUAUGUUAUGGCCUAUAGUGCCUGUAGAUCUAUUUGAAGAGUAUGGGAAGUACUGUCCAGCUUCCACCCAUU